rnacentral:lncRNA from 1 species
GCUCUUGCUUGCUUGCACUGAUGAAGUAAGCUGCCACGUUGUGAGAUGCUCAACGAAGAGGCCCAUGAGGCAGGGCACCGAGGGAGGCUUCUGGCCAACAGCUCCUGGGGAACCAAGGCCUUAGGAAGUGAGUCCUGCCAACAAUAACGAGAGCCUUGAACUUUGAAACCACAGUACCUUGUUCCAGCGUGGAAAGCAGCGUGGCACUUCCCGGUGGUGAAAGCACCCCAGCUUGAAAGGGUGAAAACACCUUCUCCCAGAUAGUCUCCCUUUGUUUAGCCAGUGCUUUUGCCUUAAGGAAAUCAAAUGAAGAUUUGAGGCUUAAGCAACUUCUUCCGGGGAAGAGUGCCAGUGCAGCCACUGUUACAAUUCAAGAUCUUGAUCUAUAUCCAUAGAUUGGAAUAUUGGUGGGCCAGCAAUCCUCAGACGCCUCACUUAGGACAAAUGAGGAAACUGAGGCUUGGUGAAGUUACGAAACUUGUCCAAAAUCACACAACUUGUAAAGGGCACAGCCAAGAUUCAGAGCCAG